UACGGAAGGCAGCAGUGGGGAAUAUUGCACAAUGGGCGAAAGCCUGAUGCAGCUAUGCCGCGUGUAUGAAGAAGGCCUUAGGGUUGUAAAGUACUUUCAUCGGGGAGGAAAAAACAAAACUAAUAAUUUUAUUUCUUGACGUUACCCGAAAAAGAAGCACCGGCUAACUCCGUGCCAGCAGCCGCGGUAAUACGGAGGGUGCUAGCGUUAAUCAGAAUUACUGGGCGUAAAGAGCACGUAGGUGGUUUUUUUAAGUCAGAUGUGAAAUCCCUGGGCUUAACCUAGGAACUGCAUUUUGAAACUGAAAUACUAGAGUAUCGUAGAGGGAGGUAGAAUUCUAGGUGUAGCGGUGAAAUGCGUAGAUAUCUGGAGGAAUACCUGUGGCGAAAGCGGCCUCUAAACGAAUACUGACACUGAGGUGCGAAAGCGUGGGGAGCAAACAGGGAUUAGAUACC
rnacentral:rRNA from 1 species